rnacentral:tRNA from 1 species
GGGGUUGUGGUCUAGUGGUAAGACACCCUCUCAUAGACAACAUCGUUAUCGAGUAUUCUUAAACUCUAUGAGAGGGAGGUCGGUGGUUCGAAUCCGCCCUGCUCCA